UUACAGUUUUUCCCAAUAGUUUCCUCACUAAAACUAGCCCAUGAGGCACAAUGACCCAAACCUGUAACUCAUUUAGCAGAACCAGACACCAAAUCGGCAAUACUACUGGCACAUUUUGCUUUACACUCAGAUUGCAAUUCUAUAACAAACAUUUGGCAAAAAACAAAAUAUUUUGUGCGCAUAUGAAAAGCAACACUGUUCAACAAGCUAAGCUCAAUUACCAAUUGAUCACUUUCACUCUUCACAUUUGCAAACACUAAUUGCGUAAAUGUUCACUUUGCAACCAGACCUUUGGUAUGGAUAAAAAGGCCACUGGUGAGUACUCCUGUGUUUGGAGAACAGGAGGAAACGUGGAGGAGGACCAAGUACCUGAUGGAAUUCAGGCGACUGUGGUGGACCAUGUGGUCAACCAUGGUUUGACCUUGAGAGAGGCUGGGCAGAGAGUGCAGCCCAAUCUGAGCCGCUUCACCGUAGCGUCCAUCAUCCGGACGUUCCAAAGGGAGAAUAGAACUGAAAGACGACCACCACGUGGUGGUAGAACGUGUCUAUUUACAGAUGAACAGGAGGCUGUCGUUGUGCAAAUUGUAGUUCAAAAUAAUGCCAUAAGACUGUGGGAAAUCCAACAACAGAUUAUUGAAAACCCAUAACAUCGGUGAGCUUAUCAACCAUAGCCCGCAUCCUUAAGAAACACCAUCUCCAGAUGAAGCAAAUCUACAGAGUCCCAUUUGAAAGGAAUUCCCAAAGAGUGAAGGGUAAACAGUACAAAUACAAAGAAUCAUGGAGUUGGAUGCAAGUCCCAUCCCCCAGGAACUCCUAUUCAUAGAUGAGGCUGGAUUCAAUUGAGCAAAGACGAGGAGAGGAAGGAACAUCAUUGGUCAUCAUUGAGGUACCUGGCCAGCGCGGGGGAAAUGUCACCAUAUGUGCAACUAUGAGCCACAAUGGGGUCCUCCACCGCCACGCCAACCUUGGACCAUACAACACUGCCCAUCUCCUUCAUUUCCUGAACACAUCACAUGACAAUCUUUUUCAGCCAGAGCAGAGAGGGCCAGAUGAUUCUGAGCAGCAAAUGUAUGUUCUAAUUUGGGACAACGUGAGUUUCCAUCGGGCUGCUCAGGCCCGCAACUGGUUCCAUGACCAUUCCAGGUUAACAAUUCUCUAUCUCCCACCUAGGUCCAAAAGACUUCUCAACAGCUUCUACCCCCAAGCCAUAAGACUCCUGAACAGCUAAU